rnacentral:RNase_P_RNA from 1 species
UGAGUAAGUUGGACAGUCGCAUCAUUUUUGAUGAGGAAAGUCCGAGCUUUAUAGAGCAGAGUGCUGGCUAACGGCCAGUAAGGGUGACCUUAAGGAAAGUGCAACAGAGAUAUACCGCCUAUUAAUAGGUAAGGGUGGAAAGGUGAGGUAAGAGCUUACCAGCAGUUAGGUGACUAACUGGCUAUGUAAACCCCACUCAAAGCAAGACCAAGUAGGGACGUGGAAUGGCUGCUCGUCAUAUCCCGUGGUAGGUCGCAUGAA